rnacentral:rRNA from 1 species
AUAGAGACUCAGAGCUGCAUAUCAAUAAGCGGAGGAAAAGAAACUAACAAGGAUUCCCUUAGUAACGGCGAGUGAAGCGGGAAGAGCUCAAAUUUGAAAUCUUCAAGGUUCUACCUUGACGAAUUGUAGUUUAAAGAAGUGUUUUCUGUUAGAUGAGUAGCAAAAGUUCCUUGGAAUGGGACAUCAUAGAGGGUGAGAAUCCCGUAUUUGGUCAUUCCUUCUAGCUUUGUGAUACACUUUCAAAGAGUCGGAUUGUUUGGGAAUGCAGUCCAAAAUGGGUGGUAAAUUUCAUCUAAAGCUAAAUAUUGGCGAGAGACCGAUAGCGAACAAGUACCGUGAGGGAAAGAUGAAAAGGACUUUGAAAAGAGAGUUAAACAGUACGUGAAAUUGUCAAAAGGGAAGCGUUUGACACCAGUGUUGUUUUUCCGAAAAUCAAUUACGAAUGGCUUGAUUUUGUGUUGUAUUGACCUUAUCAGCUUUCUGCACUUUUUUCGAGUCUUUCUUAAUGCACUUUUCGGUUAACAAGUCAACAUCAAUUUCUUUUGUUGUAAAAGAGUAUUCGGAAGGUGGCUUUCUUUUCGGAGAAAGUGUUUAUAGCCCUAUACUUCUACAAUCGGAGAGAUUGAGGUCUGCAGCGUAGAUCCUUCGGGGUUAGAUACAUUUGUGCUAAGUUGUAGCUUUUCAUAGACAACUUGUUGACUAUGUUUAGUCAUGCGGCUUACUCGCUUAUGCUAUUUUACCUACGCUUAGGAUGUUGAAGUCAUCGUAUCGCGC